rnacentral:lncRNA from 1 species
UUUUAUUCUUGUUUUUUAGGGUUUUUUGUGAUCACCAAUUUCAUGCAAAAAGCGAAAAGGGAAAACAAUUGGAAAACAAAUGUUUUAACAUGAAUUAUUUGAAUGAAAAUAUCAUUGCACAAAACGUUGCCACCAAUGUCAUCACAUCUCCUCAUGGGAGAAGGGUUUCUAAACAAAGUGAUUAUUACUCCGACUUAUGAACAACUGUAGGAACGCCCACUGUGACCCAAUUGUGAUAGAUCCCACCGGGGAUGACAACUGUCAGUAUCUCUUGCAUCAGCAACUUCUGCUUUCUGAACAACCCUUCUGAAGAAAAAGUCGGCGCCAACCC